AUAGAUAUACCCGCACUUCCUGUGUGGAUCAGCCGACUAACUCAAUGAUAAUUGCUCCGUCUCUAAGCAGUUUGAAUCUAUAAAUAGAAUAACAAAAGGAAGGAAACGAAAUUUUAAACUGAUUUCCGCCAUUAAAAAAAUAACAUGAAACCUACAGUUCGCGACACAUCGCAUAGGAAUUUAAAAUAAAUAUUAGGCCUAUAGGUUUAAUACAUAUUGCAUAGAAUAUAGAAAUUUAGAUCUAGUGUUCUGGUUAGUAGUUAUUUCAUGUUUAUUAGAAUAUAGUCUAGAAUCUAAUCAUACGGCUGCAUAAAAAGAAAGUUUGAAGGAAAUAGAAUAGGAAUAUAGAGAAGCGGAGUGUUUUCCGCACUCGAGAGGAAAGAGGUUGCAGGGAACUUAGAGACUAAUCUUUGCCAACAUACUGGAUUUCUGGUGAUGACAAUAGCAGCAGAUAGUAUGCGGCUCAGUUAAUACUAAAAACAAUUAAUAUUACUAAUUAGUGGACUAUGAGUGUGUGUUUGGCCAUCCAGAUUUCAUAACUACAACUGAUGUUCAAUUACAAGGGAUAUUAAUCAGUCUCCGUGGACUAUACACUGUGCCUAGUUUCAUC